rnacentral:rRNA from 1 species
GAUGAACGCUGGCGGCGUGCCUAAUACAUGCAAGUCGAGCGAACGGACGAGAAGCUUGCUUCUCUGAUGUUAGCGGCGGACGGGUGAGUAACACGUGGAUAACCUACCUAUCAGACUGGGAUAACUUCGGGAAACCGUAGCUAAUACCGGAUAAUAUUUUGAACCGCAUGGUUCAAAAGUGAAAGACGGUCUUGCUGUCACUUAUAGAUGGAUCCGCGCUGCAUUAGCUAGUUGGUAAGGUAACGGCUUACCAAGGCAACGAUGCAUAGCCGACCUGAGAGGGUGAUCGGCCACACUGGAACUGAGACACGGUCCAGGCUCCUACGGGAGGCAGCAGUAGGGAAUCGUCCGCAAAGGGCGAAAGCCUGACGGAGCAACGCCGCGUGAGUGAUGAAGAUCUUCGGAUCGUAAAACUCUGUUAUUAGGGAAGAACAUAUGUGUAAGUAACUGUGCACAUCUUGACGGUACCUAAUCAGAAAGCCACGGCUAACUACGUG